rnacentral:rRNA from 1 species
UACGAAGGGGGCUAGCGUUGCUCGGAAUCACUGGGCGUAAAGCGCACGUAGGCGGAUUGCUAAGUCAGGGGUGAAAUCCUGGAGCUCAACUCCAGAACUGCCUUUGAUACUGGCGACCUUGAGUCCGGGAGAGCGAGUGGAACUGCGAGUGUAGAGGUGAAAUUCGUAGAUAUUCGCAAGAACACCAGUGGCGAAGGCGGCUCACUGGCCCGGUACUGACGCUGAGGUGCGAAAGCGUGGGGAGCAAACAGG